rnacentral:rRNA from 1 species
AACGAACGCUGGCGGCAGGCCUAACACAUGCAAGUCGAACGCCCCGCAAGGGGAGUGGCAGACGGGUGAGUAACGCGUGGGAACCUUCCCAGUGGUACGGAAUAGCUCAGGGAAACUUGAGGUAAUACCGUAUGAGCCCGAAAGGGGAAAGAUUUAUCGCCAUUGGAUGGGCCCGCGUAGGAUUAGCUAGUUGGUGAGGUAAUGGCUCACCAAGGCGACGAUCCUUAGCGGGUUUGAGAGAAUGACCAGCCACACUGGGACUGAGACACGGCCCAGACUCCUACGGGAGGCAGCAGUGGGGAAUAUUGGACAAUGGGCGCAAGCCUGAUCCAGCCAUGCCGCGUGAGUGACGAAGGCCUUAGGGUUGUAAAGCUCUUUUACCAGGGAUGAUAAUGACAGUACCUGGAGAAUAAGCUCCGGCUAACUCUGUGCCAGCCGCCGCCGUAACAC